rnacentral:lncRNA from 1 species
AAAUGGUUAAUAAUCUUAACCAUAUGCUAAGAGUUCCUAUAAAUUCACAGAAAAAGAUCGACAUCCUGUAGUAAAAUAGGUAAAGGAUACAAAUAACUAAUUUUUGAAAAAAAUCAAAUGCAAAUGACUUUGAAGUAUGUGGAAACGUGACCAACUUCAUUAAUAAUGAAGAAAAUGAAAUUAAAAAUGAGACUUUUUAACUUAUGCAGCUGCAGUGAUGAAGAGUGACGGUAUCCAUUAUUGGCAGAAGUGUUGGGGAAAUUGAGCGCAGAUACAAACUGAUACCAGAGUGAAAUCCGGGCAGUCUAGAUCGAAUGUUCGAAUGUCUCUACCUUCUAACCCGCAGUUACACUUCCUAGAAUUUGUCUCACAGAACUAGCAAUACUCUUCUCAGAAUCUGUCCCACAGAAAUAAUCACGUAAGUGAGCAAAGCUAAUGUGCCGCAAGGAUGCUGACCGUAGUGUUGUUCGUAAGAAGGAAGAUGGGAAACAACUCUUAGUGCCGUCAGCAGGUCAUCAGUGAAAUCGAGGACGACGCGGCUGUCCAACGGUGUACCAAGCAGCAGGAGAAAAGAAGCAGCUCCGUUUAUACCGAUGCGGAAAGAUGGCAGCAAUAGGUAACCAAGUGAACUUCAUGGAUACCAGCAGUUUCACCUCAGGAUUCCCAGCAAUCAGAGACCUUCCGAGUGGAGUGGAGUGGAUUCUCCUUAGAAAAUCUCACAGAAAUGAAGUAAGGCCUGUUACCCGGUGUUAAGAUGACAGAGAACCCAGCGUCCCCCCAUCUCUCCUCUAAGAGUCAGUAAGGUUUUCCUCUUCCGGUUCUGAGAUCCUUCACUUGUCUGCCCUAGCAUCUCAGUUGCUUGUGAAACCCAGUGCACUUUCCUGCCAACAGAUCACAUUCCCGUUUGCCUCACAAGGGAGCCCAGCCUUCCUGGCCACAACCCUCCAGCUGUGGCUUAUAGUCUA